UACGUAGGGUGCGAGCGUUAAUCGGAAUUACUGGGCGUAAAGCGUGCGCAGGCGGUGAUGUAAGACAGGUGUGAAAUCCCCGGGCUUAACCUGGGAACUGCAUUUGUGACUGCAUCGCUGGAGUGCGGCAGAGGGGGAUGGAAUUCCGGCGUGUAGCAGUGAAAUGCGUAGAUAUGCGGAGGAACACCGAUGGCGAAGGCAAUCCCCUGGGCCUGCACUGACGCUCAUGCACGAAAGCGUGGGGAGCAAACAGG
rnacentral:rRNA from 1 species